GGGGACGAUAGUGAACUGGUCUACGAUCAAUGCUAUAUGUAUAACAUCACAGGCAUAGAGUUUGAUCCUUCCUAUGACCCAUCGAUGAAUGGAACCGCCAGGACUAUCCCGUGCCAAGAUGGUUGGGAACACGAUAAGAGUCAGCUGAAGUCAUCCAUCAUACAAGAUUGGGAUCUAGUAUGUGACAAGAAACACUUGCCCGACUACGCUCAAUCUGUGUUUUACUCUGGCUAUUUAUUUGGAUCUAUUUCCUUUGGGGUCCUUGCAGACAA